GUGGGGAAUCUUGCGCAAUGGGCGAAAGCCUGACGCAGCCAUGCCGCGUGAAUGAUGAAGGUCUUAGGAUUGUAAAAUUCUUUCACCGGGGACGAUAAUGACGGUACCCGGAGAAGAAGCUCCGGCUAACUUCGUGCCAGCAGCCGCGGUAAUACGAAGGGGGCUAGCGUUGCUCGGAAUUACUGGGCGUAACGGGCGCGUAGGCGGACAGCUUAGUCAGAGGUGAAAGCCAAGGGCUCAACCUUGGAAUUGCCUUUGAUACUGGCUGUCUGGAUUUUGGGAGGGGUGAGUGGAACUGCGAGUGUAGAGGUGAAAUUCGUAGAUAUUCGGAAGAACACCAGUGGCGAAGGCGACUCACUGGCCCAAUACUGACGCUGAGGCGCGAAAGCGUGGGGAGCAAACAGGAUUAGAAACCCUUGUAGUCC
rnacentral:rRNA from 1 species